GUCCCCGCUUGCACACCUGCCGCUGCAAGCCUCGGGACUCUGUGGUUCCGAGUGCCCUGCGGCCCACGGUGCAGAGGGCUCUGCUCUCUGGGGCGAGCCUGCUGAAGGCGGGGGGGCUGCGAGAGUCCGCCCUGCCGGCAGCCCUUUGGCUUUCCAGUGCAGCCUCUGGGUACAGGCAUGCUGCUAGGGAAAGGCUCUUCGGGGUGUGCAGUGCCUGCCCCCGGGCAGGGCCUGGGGCCAGCCAGCCAGGCCGCCUGGGGGGUUGCUCUGGUGUGACUGCACCAUCUAGUGCCGUCCUCUGCAAACUCAGCGCCGGCCUCAGCCGAGAGCAGGCUCAGCGGGUUCCUCACGGCCCGACGGGGGCUGCAGCUCACAUGCGCGUCGAGCCGUGCUUCCUGUGCCUUAACGCCCCCAAAGCUGGAGAAAUCGGCGUGGCAAAGGCAGCGACUUCUGGCCGUUGUCUUCCCUGUUGGCUGAGCUUCCAUCCGGCGUGGACAGCGGCUGAAGAGGAAGGAGCAGGACACGGCGCCAUCUUGCGCCGGUGAGGUACGUGCACAAAGGCACGCGGGAAACAGUAAGCUGCCUCGGUGGGCUCUGAAGGGAAGGUAAGGAUUCAGUUCUAGGUUGCUGGCUGUACCCGGUGCCAGUCUGAGUCACGUCAGGACUCCAUAAGGCAACAGCAGAAAUAGGGCCCAGAGCCACAGCGGCUGCUCACUCGGCUCCUGCUCAGGUGCUGCCCCACGGCAGAGCUCCUGCGAAGGCCUGAUGUGUGCCGGGAGCAGGCCUUUCCCUGGCAAAAGAGCAGCAUGGACGCUUUGUACCAAGGCCCGAAGGAGAGGUGGUGCGCUGCCUCUGCAGCCAUGCAGAGGGAACUCUUCGGGAGUUGCUGGUAAGCCUGAAAGUCUUCAGAACUAACUGCACCAAGCCACUGGAAAUGCCUAAACCAGACUUCCAAGCUGGAAGGCAGGAAUAUGCCAGCCUACCCCAAAAAACCUUGGCAGCAAGUCCAGCAGCGACCAGGCUGCUGAGGCUCUUCUGCUUCCUGGGGUGAUAGAGGGGACACCUGCA